UUAAAACCAAUCAAGUAUCUAGCCUUUUUUUAAAUAAAAUUCAUCACCGACACUUUCAUUUUUAUUUCGGAAGUUUUCGGACUUCCAAAUCGGAAUCGAUACAAUGAUGUGUAUAUAUAUAUAUUAAACAUCUCGACACAAGGAGAGAACCAUAGCCUUGCUGGAGAUCGGGGACGCACGUCGGAGACCCCGGGGUAAACCGAACACGCCCGACUGUUUCGGGUACUCUUUUCGUUAUUUGGAUCCUCUCAAUCUUUACUUGUGCGUUAUUACAAGAAAUCGCAACGCAAUCAAUGUUGAUAGACAAGAUGAUGAAGAAGCAAGUUAGGGUG